rnacentral:ncRNA from 1 species
AUCAUCAGCUAAGGCCCCUAAAUGACCGCUCAGUGAUGAAGGAAGUACGAGUGCAAAGACAGCCGGGAGGUUUUCCUAGAAGCAACCAACCUUGAAAGAGUGCGUAAUAGCUCAUUGAUCGAGCGCUCUUGCACCGAAGAUGAAUGGGACUAAGUGAUCUGCCGAAGCUGUGGGAUGUAAAAAUACAUCGGUAGGGGAGUGUUCCACCUCAGAGGGAAGCACCGGCGUGAGCAGGUGUGGAUGAAGCAGAAGCGAGAAUGUCGUCUUGAGUAACGCAAACAUUGGUGAGAAUCCAAUGCCCCGAAAACCUAUGGGUUCCUCCACAAGGUUCAUCCACGGAGGGUGAGUCAGGGCCUAUGAUCAGGCCGAAAGGCGUAAUCGAUGGACAACAGGUUAAUAUUCCUGUACUACCCCUUGUUGGUCAUGAGGGAUGGAGGAGGAUAAGUUAGCCAAAAUAUGGUUAUCGGUUCAAGGAUGCAAGGUGACCCUGCUUUUUUCAGGGUAAGAAGGGGUAUAGAAAAUGCCUCGAGCCAAUGUCCGAGUACCAAGCGCUACAGCGCUGAAGUAACCCAUGCCAUACUCCCAGGAAAAGCUCGAACGACCUUUAACAAAUGGGUACCUGUACCCGAAACCAACACAGGUAGGUAGGUAGAGAAUACCUAGGGGCGCAAGACAACUCUCUCUAAGGAACUUGACAAAAUAGCCCCGUAACUUCAGGAGAAGGGGUGCCUCCUCAGGAGGUCGCAGUGACCAGGCCCAGGUGAUUGUUUACCAAAAACACAGGUCUCUGCAAAUUCGUAAGACCAUGUAUGGGGGCUGACGCCUGCCUAGUGCCAGAAGGUUAAGGAAGUUGGUGACCUGAUAACGGGGAAGCCAGUGACCGAAGCCCCAGUGAACGACGACCGUAACUAUAACGGUCCUAAGGUAGAAAAAUUCUUUGUCGAGUAAGUUCCGACCCGCACGAAAGGCGUAACAAUCUGGGCACUGUCUCAGAGAGAGACUCGGUGAAAUAGACAUGUCUGUGAAGAUGCGGACUACCUGCACCUAGACAGAAAGACCCUAUGAAGCUUUACUAUUCCCUGGGAUUGUCUUUGGGUUCUUCUGGCGCAGCUUAGGUGGAAGGCGAAGAAGGCUCCCUCUCGGGGGGGCCUGAGCCAC